rnacentral:tRNA from 2 species
CAUUAAGAAGCUUAUAUAGCAUCAGCCUUUUAAGUUGAAGAAGAAGAUCGUUUCCUUAGUGA